UACGUAGGGUGCGAGCGUUUAAUCGGAAUUACUGGGCGUAAAGCGUGCGCAGGCGGUUCGUUGUGUCCGAUGUGAAAGCCCCGGGCUUAACCUGGGAAUGGCAUUUGGAAACUGGCGAAGCUUGAGUGCGGCAGAGGGGGGUGGAAUUCCGCGUGUAGCAGUGAAAUGCGUAGAGAUGCGGAGGAACACCGAUGGCGAAGGCAGCCCCCUGGGUCGACACUGACGCUCAGGCACGAAAGCGUGGGGAGCAAACAGG
rnacentral:rRNA from 1 species